CUUAGACAAAAUAUUCUGACAUUACCCUGACUCAUGCUCACGCAUGGUCUGAGACCGUGAGAACAGUCCAAUCAAUUGCUGAAAAGCAUUUGAUUGGACCUCGCUGAGGGAUGAAUUGGUGUCAGACAGGGCAUGGAAGGCAGCAAGUGUAGCUUUGCCUGGUGCUGGUUUCCAGGUAAGCUUUAAGCUUUUUAUUUUUCAGACCUAUAAUGGGGGUGAGGGGUAACCUAUUUUGGCCCUGAUGGUUCUUAUACCUUAUCUGUGACAAGCUACUAGUCUUUAUUUUGCUUAGCACUCUUAGUUCCCUGACAAAUUUAGAGGACAACUCAUGUCCUGGUUUGGCAGUCUUUCUUGACCAUCUCCAGUGAUAUUUAACUCUACACAUUUCCUACACUAAAUACAAUAAAUAAAUAAAAGGUUUAAAAGUAGGUGCUACUAUCACUUUGUGUAGGUCAGCCAAUCACACACAAAAGACAGUAACUAAAAUAGGUUAAAGAUAGUAGUGAGAGUACACUGAUAAGUAUAGGUAUAAAAAUACACAUAUAAUAACUAUAUAAAAUUGCAGUGAAAAAAGAGUGUAAGUAAAAAAACACACACAUGCAAUUUUUACCAUAAACUUUAUAUACAACCUAAAAUAUAACCAGAAAAUAGACCAUAGUGUAAUCUGUAUAAAUGUUAUAAAAAACAAGUAAACACAAAUUGUUCCCAUCAGGUAGGUAGGAUUCCCACAGGAUACUGGAUACUGUAUUUCACAUACUUGAUUUGUAAAAACAAAAAAAAGGGUAACAGAAAAGUAACCAGGAUAAAUGUAUUGAAUUAAAUGUAUAAAACUCAAAAGAUUUUACUGCACAGCAGCAC